GCGCGAGUGGCGGAAUUGGCAGACGCGCUGGAUUUAGGUUCCAGUGUCUUCGGACGUGAGGGUUCAAGUCCCUUCUCGCGCA
rnacentral:tRNA from 1 species